AUUGAACGCUGGCGGCAGGCCUAACACAUGCAAGUCGAGCGGAUGAAGAGAGCUUGCUCCUGGAUUCAGCGGCGGACGGGUGAGUAAUGCCUAGGAAUCUGCCUGGUAGUGGGGGAUAACGUCCGGACACGGGCGCUAAUACCGCAUACGUCCUGAGGGAGAAAGUGGGGGAUCUUCGGACCUCACGCUAUCAGAUGAGCCUAGGUCGGAUUAGCUAGUUGGUGGGGUAAAGGCCUACCAAGGCGACGAUCCGUAACUGGUCUGAGAGGAUGAUCAGUCACACUGGAACUGAGACACGGUCCAGACUCCUACGGGAGGCAGCAGUGGGGAAUAUUGGACAAUGGGCGAAAGCCUGAUCCAGCCAUGCCGCGUGUGUGAAGAAGGUCUUCGGAUUGUAAAGCACUUUAAGUUGGGAGGAAGGGCAGUAAGUUAAUACCUUGCUGUUUUGACGUUACCAACAGAAUAAGCACCGGCUAACUUCGUG
rnacentral:rRNA from 1 species